UGUGAGUGAUUCUUGUUAGGGGAAGAUGCGAUAGUAAAGGAUGGUCCACCUAUUAAUUUACUCUUUUUAUGUUGGUGUAUGUCUGGUUUGAUAUUAUUGUUUAGUAAUGUAAGUUUGUGUAGUUUUAGUUAAGCUAAGUCUAUGUGCUGCUUAUAAGAGUUUUUGUGUGUUACAGUUGAUAGGAAUAUUGUUGUAAUAUGGUAUUGUA
rnacentral:rRNA from 1 species